AUUGCAAGGUUGUAUCACAAUGUAAUGCAACAAUACUUCUAACUUGAGCUAACAAGAUAUUUGCGUCAUGCUUGUCUGAAGGAGAACUGCAUAGUGCAUGUAGAGAUUGUAUCCCACUCUAAUCUCUGAAGAUCAGGCUUGCAUGCUCUCAUCUUAACACCAUGGUGCUAGCCACCCCCCAGAGGAUGAAGGAUGUAACACAGCAUGUGCCUACUGGUGUGCUGGCUCCCCAGCAUGCAAAUUCAAAGAGCACACAGAGGGCAACAGCCCAUCCCAGGGUGCAGAAGAAGCUGCACUCAGGGGAGUUUGAAGAGGCCGAAGUAGUUGCUGU